UACGUAGGGCGCAAGCGUUAUCCGGAAUUAUUGGGCGUAAAGAGCUCGUAGGCGGCUCGUCGCGUCGACCGUGAAAACCCGCAGCUUAACUGCGGGCUUGCGGUUGAUACGGGCGGGCUAGAGUUCGGUAGGGGAGACUGGAAUUCCUGGUGUAGCGGUGAAAUGCGUAGAUAUCUGAAGGAACAUCAGUGGCGAAAGCGACUUCCUGGACGAAUACUGACGCUCAUGUGCGAAAGCGUGGGGAGCAAACAGG
rnacentral:rRNA from 1 species